rnacentral:rRNA from 1 species
UACGUAGGGUGCAAGCGUUAAUCGGAAUUACUGGGCGUAAAGCGUGCGCAGGCGGUUUUGUAAGUCAGAUGUGAAAUCCCCGGGCUUAACCUGGGAACUGCGUUUGAAACUACAAGGCUAGAGUGUGGCAGAGGGGGGUGGAAUUCCACGUGUAGCAGUGAAAUGCGUAGAGAUGUGGAGGAACACCGAUGGCGAAGGCAGCCCCCUGGGCUGAGAUUGACGCUCAGGCACGAAAGCGUGGGGAGCAAACAGG